rnacentral:rRNA from 1 species
GACGAACGCUGGCGGCGUGCUUAACACAUGCAAGUCGAACGGACCCUUUGGGGUUAGUGGCGAACGGGUGAGUAACACGUGGGUGAUCUGCCCUGCACUUUGGGAUAAGCCUGGGAAACUGGGUCUAAUACCGGAUAGGACUACGCACUGCAUGGUGUGUGGUGGAAAGCUUUUGCGGUGUGGGAUGGGCCCGCGGCCUAUCAGCUUGUUGGUGGGGUGAUGGCCUACCAAGGCGACGACGGGUAGCCGGCCUGAGAGGGUGACCGGCCACACUGGGACUGAGAUACGGCCCAGACUCCUACGGGAGGCAGCAGUGGGGAAUAUUGCACAAUGGGCGCAAGCCUGAUGCAGCGACGCCGCGUGAGGGAUGACGGCCUUCGGGUUGUAAACCUCUUUCGCCAGGGACGAAGCGCAAGUGACGGUA